UGCUAAGGCUAUAGUUGCAGUACCGUCCUGCCUAAGUGAAGCAGUUUCCGAAGAAAAUCGAGUGGUAUUUUCGAUUUUUGCUUUGUAUGUAGCACCUCGGGGGUCGCAACCCCGUUACAACAAUAGCGAUAGUGCUACGCUUCAUGGCAACAAAGUAAAUGCAGGGGCUUCGGGUAAACAAAACGGGCAACAGCCAUUCGUGAAACCACCGCGAGUGGCUUUUG
rnacentral:sRNA from 12 species